rnacentral:rRNA from 1 species
GAUGAACGCUGGCGGCGUGCCUAAUACAUGCAAGUCGAGCGAACAGACGAGGAGCUUGCUCCUCUGACGUUAGCGGCGGACGGGUGAGUAACACGUGGAUAACCUACCUAUAAGACUGGGAUAACUUCGGGAAACCGGAGCUAAUACCGGAUAAUAUAUUGAACCGCAUGGUUCAAUAGUGAAAGACGGUUUUGCUGUCACUUAUAGAUGGAUCCGCGCCGCAUUAGCUAGUUGGUAAGGUAACGGCUUACCAAGGCAACAAUGCGUAGCCGACCUGAGAGGGUGAUCGGCCACACUGGAGCUGAGACACGGUCCAGACUCCUAGGGGAGGCAGGAGUAGGGAAUCUUCCGCAAUGGGCGAAAGCUUGACGGAGCAACGCCGCGUGAGUGAUGAAGGUCUUCGGAUCGUAAAACUCUGUUAUUAGGGAAGAACAAAUGUGUAAGUAACUAUGCACGUCUUGACGGUACCUAAUCAGAAAGCCACGGCUAACUACGU